rnacentral:rRNA from 1 species
UACAGAGGUCUCAAGCGUUGUUCGGAUUCAUUGGGCGUAAAGGGUGCGUAGGCGGCGCGGUAAGUCGGGUGUGAAAUCUCGGAGCUUAACUCCGAAACUGCAUUCGAUACUGCCGCGCUUGAGGACUGGAGAGGAGACUGGAAUUUACGGUGUAGCGGUGAAAUGCGUAGAUAUCGUAAGGAAGACCAGUGGCGAAGGCGGGUCUCUGGACAGUUCCUGACGCUGAGGUGCGAAAGCGUGGGGAGCAAACAGG